AGCAGAGAAGGUGACAAAAUACAUAGGAAAAACUUUUUCGCAAUUCAUCAAAACCAAUGCAUGGAUGGAUUCAGGAACAAAAGGGGAAAUGACUACGUGGGUGACCGCCCUCGAAUAUCACAUUGGCGCAUCCGACGCAAGCCUUAACGAGUCUCUCGUCCAGAAUAACUACGGCCUUGUGGUGCUCUCUGGUGUCUCUUCCCUACCACAGUAUUUCUGGACUCUAAGGCAGAACAAUUACCUGCAAAAACUGACGCUAAUGAAGACUGCGUACGAGAAAAGUAAUAUGUG